rnacentral:rRNA from 1 species
CCCAGACUCCUACGGGAGGCAGCAGUGGGGAAUAUUGCACAAUGGGGGGAACCCUGAUGCAGCGACGCCGCGUGAGUGAAGAAGUAUUUCGGUACGUAAAGCUCUAUCAGCAGGGAAGAAAAAAGGACGGUACCUGAGUAAGAAGCCCCGGCUAACUACGUGCCAGCAGCCGCAGUAAUACGUAGGGGGCAAGCGUUAUCCGGAUUCACUGGGUGUAAAGGGAGCGUAGACGGCGACGCAAGUCUGGAGUGAAAGCCCGGGGCCCAACCCCGGGACUGCUCUGGAAACUGCGUCGCUGGAGUACGGGAGGGGCAGGCGGAAUUCCUGGUGUAGCGGUGAAAUGCGUAGAUAUCAGGAGGAACACCGGCGGCGAAGGCGGCCUGCUGGACCGUGACUGACGUUGAGGCUCGAGAGCGUGGGGAGCAAACAGGAUUAGAUACCCCAGUAAAG